rnacentral:rRNA from 1 species
AUUCCAGCUCCAAUAGCGUAUAUUAAAGUUGUUGCAGUUAAAAAGCUCGCGGUGAGCGUCCAAGGGCCUUCGGCCUUUGCGCAUGCGAUCCGCUAGCCAUGUACUUCGGAGGAACGCGUGUGCUUUUCACUAAGUGCGCGUGGGAUUCCGAUAGUUUACUUUGAGAAAAAUAGAGUGUUCAAAGCAGGCGUUUUGCCUUGAAUACAUUAGCAUGGGAUAAUGAAAUAGGACAUUGGUUCUAUUUUGAUGGUUUACGGACCGAUGUAAUGAUUAAUAGGGACAGUUGGGGACAUUCAUAUUGCAUGGCUAGAGGUGAAAUUCUUGGAUUCAUGCAAGAUGAACUACUGCGAAAGCAUUUGUCAAAGAUGUUUUCAUUA